rnacentral:rRNA from 1 species
UACGUAGGCAGCAAGCGUUGUUCGGAGUUACUGGGCGUAAAGGGUGCGUAGGCGGCCCUGUAAGUAUGGUGUGAAAUCUCCCGGCUUAACUGGGAGGGUGCGCUAUAGACUGCGGGGCUCGAGUGUGGGAGAGGAAAGCGGAAUUCCACGUGUAGCGGUGAAAUGCGUAGAGAUGUGGAGGAACACCAGUGGCGAAGGCGGCUUUCUGGUCUGUAACUGACGCUGAGGCGCGAAAAGCGUGGGGGAGCGAACAGG